UACAGAGGGUGCAAGCGUUGUUCGAAUUAUUGGCGUAAAGGGCGCGUAGGCGGUUCGGCAAGUCUCUAGUGAAAUCUCUGGGCUCAACUCAGAGUCUGCUGGGGGAAACUGCCGGGCUUUGAGUGUGGGAGAGGAGAGUGGAAUUCCCGGUGUAGCGGUGAAAUGCGUAGAUAUCUGGAGGAACACCGGUGGCGAAGGCGGCAUCCUGGACCGGCAUUGACGCUGAGGCGCGAAAGCUAGGGGAGCAAACGGGG
rnacentral:rRNA from 1 species